CACGAGGGGUGCAAGCGUUGUUCGGAAUUACUGGGCGUAAAGAGUUCGUAGGCGGGAAGUCAAGUCAGAUGUUUAAUGUAGAGGCCUAACCUCUAUUCGGCAUUUGAAACUGGCUUUCUUGAAUAGGUGAGAGGUUGACGGAAUUCUUGGUGUAGCGGUGGAAUGCGUAGAUAUCAAGAAGAACACCGAUGGCGAAGGCAGUCAACUGGCGCCAUAUUGACGCUGAGGAACGAAAGUGUGGGUAGCGAACAGG
rnacentral:rRNA from 1 species